CAUUAAAAACAUAUGACCAGUUUUAAAGAAAAACAUCUGAUGACUAACUUGUAAGACUAGUUUAAACCUUUUUAUGCAACCGGCCAAUGGAGUGACAAGUGACAAAGACAAUUGCUUUAAAAAAUCUUAAAGAUUUUAGCCAUAAUAAACC